CGCGUAGGAACCUACCUAGUAGUUUGGGAUAGCCCAGAGAAAUUUGGAUUAAUACCGGAUACGCCCCACGGGGGAAAGCAGAGGAUCUUCGGACUUUGCGCUAUUAGAUGGGCCUGCGUGAGAUUAGCUAGUUGGUGGGGUAAUGGCCCACCAAGGCGACGAUCUCUAGCUGGUCUGAGAGGAUGAUCAGCCACACUGGAACUGAGACACGGUCCAGACUCCUAACGGGAGCAGCAGUGAGGAAUAUUGGACAAUGGAGGCAACUCUGAUCCAGCCAUGCCGCGUGCAGGAUGACUGCCC
rnacentral:rRNA from 1 species